rnacentral:tRNA from 1 species
UGGGGAGUAGUUCAAUUGGCGGAACGCCUGGCUCUGGACCAGGAUGAUGGGGGUUCAAGUCCUCCCUCCCCAGCCA